UGAGGAAUUUUGCGCAAUGGGAGCAAUCCUGACGCAGCAACGCCGCGUGGGUGAAGAAGGCCUUCGGGUCGUAAAGCCCUGUCAGGUGGGAAGAAGGGUCCUAUCAGGAAAGGGGUGGGAUUUGACGGUACCACCAGAGGAAGCACCGGCUAACUCCGUGCCAGCAGCCGCGGUAAUACGGAGGGUGCGAGCGUUAUUCGGAAUUACUGGGCGUAAAGCGCGUGUAGGCGGGGAGCAAGUCUGAUGUGAAAGCCCCGGGCUUAACCCGGGAAGUGCAUUGGAAACUGUUGUGCUUGAGUACUGGAGAGGAAGGGGGAAUUCCCGGUGUAGAGGUGAAAUUCGUAGAGAUCGGGAGGAAUACCAGUGGCGAAGGCGCCCUUCUGGACGGUUACUGACGCUGAGACGCGAAAGCGUGGGGAGCAAACAG
rnacentral:rRNA from 1 species